CCCGGCACUCCCGUGCCGGGCUUUCCUGUUCCGCCGCUUCGCGGCU
rnacentral:sRNA from 1 species